UAGGGAAUCUUCCACAAUGGACGCAAGUCUGAUGGAGCAACGCCGCGUGAGUGAAGAAGGUUUUCGGACCGUAAAGCUCUGUUGUUGGUGAAGAAGGAUAGAGGUAGUAACUGGCCUUUAUUUGACGGUAAUCAACCAGAAAGUCACGGCUAACUACGUGCCAGCAGCCGCGGUAAUACGUAGGUGGCAAGCGUUGUCCGGAUUUAUUGGGCGUAAAGCGAGCGAGGCGGAAGAAUAAGUCUGAUGUGAAAGCCCUCGGCUUAACCGAGGAAUUGCAUCGGAAACUGUUUUCUUGAGUGCAGAAGAGGAGAGUAGAACUCCAUGUGUAGCGGUGGAAUGCGUAGAUAUAUGGAAGAAUACCAGUGGCGAAGGCGGCUCUCUGGUCUGCAACUGACGCUGAGGCUCGAAAGCAUGGGUAGCGAACAGGAUUAGAUACCCUGGUAGUCCAUGCCGUAAACGAUGAGUGCUAAGUGUUGGGAGGCUUCCGCCUCUCAGUGCUGCAGCUAACGCAUUAAGCACUCCGCCUGGG
rnacentral:rRNA from 1 species